GAUGAACGCUGGCGGCGUGCCUAAUACAUGCAAGUCGAGCGGACAGAUAAGGAGCUUGCUCCUUUGACGUUAGCGGCGGACGGGUGAGUAACACGUGGGUAACCUACCUAUAAGACUGGGAUAACUUCGGGAAACCGGAGCUAAUACCGGAUAAUAUUUCGAACCGCAUGGUUCGAUAGUGAAAGAUGGCUUUGCUAUCACUUAUAGAUGGACCCGCGCCGUAUUAGCUAGUUGGUAAGGUAACGGCUUACCAAGGCGACGAUACGUAGCCGACCUGAGAGGGUGAUCGGCCACACUGGAACUGAGACACGGUCCAGACUCCUACGGGAGGCAGCAGUAGGGAAUCUUCCGCAAUGGGCGAAAGCCUGACGGAGCAACGCCGCGUGAGUGAUGAAGGUCUUCGGAUCGUAAAACUCUGUUAUUAGGGAAGAACAUACGUGUAAGUAACUGUGCACGUCUUGACGGUACCUAAUCAGAAAGCCACGGCUAACUACGUG
rnacentral:rRNA from 1 species